UUUUUGACUUGUGCUCUGCAAGUUUAAAUCUUUGUUCCUAAAACACCACUUUGGAAUUGUUGAUUCACCAGUAACAAAAUUUACACUUUAUGUAUAUGUAUGUAUAUGUGUAUGUGUGUGUCUGUGUGCGUGUGUGUGCGCGCGCGCGCAUAUGUUAAGUGGGCAGAUGUCACAAAGCGUUCUCAAGUGCCACUUCCUAAGUACUGUCAAUAGAGCAAAACACUCCAGGAAUCUUAUUUGAAAUAACAAAAAGUUAGUGUGUAAAUUUUAACCAGGUAAAAUCACAUGUGAAAGGAUAGGUUCAUACUCUCUUCUUCUUCCAGGGUUUUUUUUUUUCCUGUCUCUUCAUUUUAUUUUUAUGGUUAAAACUUUGAAUUUUGUUACCUGCUCAUCUCAGCAAAUGAACUAUAGAUUUUAUUGGAAAUCAAUUCUUCCUCCAAAACCUGUACUUUACACUGGUUUCCUUCAGACUAAUAAAAUGCUGUUUAUCAAUCAAAACCUCAAGUAUGUCUCUUAGGUACUUGUGUUCCUCCUCCCUUUCUGACCACCACUCCCUUCACCUUCAUCUGAAAAGACAGGAACACCCACCUUGUGAGUUCCCUGUCAUCAGGACCAACAGACCCUGGGGAAAAUUCACCAAGUUAGCUUCCUUCCGGACUCUUCCUGCUUACAAAGAAUGCUCCUCUGGCAAGUCAGGGCAGCCUUUGGGUCUGUCUGUGAGGCACUUUUCUUCUGGGUGGCAGAUAAUGCCUUCUAUUUACCAACCACUCACUCACCACUAACCAGCCUCCUUGGCGGCCCUUAGGAACUUCCAGGUGGCGGUGUUUGUUUAUCCCCAUUCUGUAGGGGGCGAAACUGAGGCACAAGAAGAGCAAAUCACUGUCAAGACAUGCCACAGGAGCAAGAUACAAGAUAAGAGUAAUUCAGCUUCGUGGGUUAUUUUCAAAAACUGAAGAAGGGAUUGUAACAAGAACCUCAUACAGUACUGCCUUCCUUCACACUUCAACUGUGAAAUGAAACUCUAAUGAGGGGCAACCCUGACAGAUUUCUUAAGUUUUCAAUUUUAUGCCAAUUCUGUGCUUUCUGGAGGAGGGAGAGUGAGCUUGGAAACAGGUGAUAUAGUAGGAGGGUGGAGACAGAAAAGUAAAGUAAGAGGCUUGUGAGAUCCAGACUGGGAUAAUCAAGCUAAGAAUGAUCAGUUUGGUGGAGGCUCUACAAGAAGCUCCAGGAAAUGACCCUCAGCUGUACUCACAUGUAAGCUCACUGGAAAAUUAUGUCGCCUCUUUACAUCAGGGCUGGUGGGUGGAGAAUUCAGGCCUGAUGCUGUGUAAUUAUGUAAAUUCAGCUGACCCCUGAACACCGCAUGGAUUAAGGGUGUUGACCCUCCACCUCACACAGUCAAAAACCUGCACAUGAUUUUUGGCCCACCAAAAUUGUAACUACUAAUAGCCUACUGUUGAUUGGAAGCCUUACUGACAACAUAAGCAGCUGAUUAACACAUACUUUGUAUGUUCUAUGUAUUAUAUACUAUAGUCUUAUAAUAAAUUAAGAUAGGGAAAAAAUAUUAAGAAAAUCUCAAGGAAGAGAAAGUACAUUUACAAUACAAAAAAUGUGCAUGUAAGCAUUUAAGUGGGCCUGUGCAGAUCAAACUGCAUUGUUAAAGGAUCAACUGUACGUGUGCACCCAACACACACAUGCACGCAAUACAUGUGCAUACACACACAUACCGUAAUCAUACAGUAAAUGGAUAGUAAUGUACAUAGAAUUAUGUACAUCUUAUAUAUGUACAUAAUUGAGUCAUAAGAACCUACUAUGUUGGCAUGCUUUCAAGACAAGACUUCAUUAUAAAACUGUUAGCCAUAAAAACACUGUUUUUGUCUUUUUUCCAAAGGGAUAUGUCCUUUUGUCUUGCUUUGAUAAUUAAGAGUUAAAAAUUGCUAAACGUUUCUUACUGGCUAACCUGGAGAGAAGACAAUAAAACUCAAUGGAGACUUGUAAGUUAUGAGAUUUAGGAUCCACUGAGGUUUAUGUGGGAAAGGAAAAGGGUUUAUGGACUGUGGAUGUGUUUAUGAUUCUAUCAAAUCCAGUCAGCCACAGUCCCCCACCAGGGGCACAAUCAAAAUUGUGCAAGUGGGGUGCCUGGGUGGCUCAGUCAGUUAAGUAUCCGACUUCAGUUCAGGUCAUGAUCUCACCGUCUGUGGGUUCAAGCCCCGUGUCGGGCUCUGUGCUGACAAUUCAGAGCCUGGAGCCUGCUUCGGAUUCUGUGUCUUCCUCUCUUCCUGCCCCUCCCCCACUCGUGUUCUGCCUCUCUCUCUCUCUCUCUCUCUCUCUCUCUCUCUCUCUCUCAAAAAUAAACAAACAUUUUUAAAAAAUUUAAAAAAAAACAAAAUUGUGCAAGUAACUAAAUCCUAUCCUUAGGAAAUAAUGAUAUUGGAUCGUAUUUCCAAUACUUAGAACUCACUACUUAGCUCCAUGGUACUGUAUAGACAGUCAAAAGCUUAUCAGAUAAAGUUAUCUUCAUAGAGUAUUAAGGCUGGGAAGGUCCUUAGAGGAAACCCUUUCAUCUCAAAGACUGCAUCCCAGAGAAGUGAUCUGUCCAAAGACACACAACAGUUUUGUAGAUAAGAAGCCACAUCUUCUGAGUCUCAAGAUCCUUGAAGCUUCUUCCCACCCCAAUACCUCUGUCGGUAGCACCCACCUCGGUCAAUCCAUUAACAGACAUGAGCAAGCGCUGGUGUUCCAGGCACGGCACCAACCGCCCCAGGAGGAUUUGAGUGUCUCUGAUACGCUCAACUCUUAACAGGCACUGAGGGCUCCAAGAUGAAUGGCAGUUUCUUCCCUGCUGGAACUCCCAAGCUAGUAAGGGUCACAUGGAACGAAACAACAGGUAAGUACAGAAUGGAGGGGAAACCAUUCUACAAGAAUGUACAGGAAACUCUGGGAGCUCUGAGGAGUGGCCACAACCAGCUGUGAGUGAGAGGAGUAGAAACCUGAGCUGAACCUUGAAGAAAGAGUAGGCAUCAUCCAGGUAAAAAAAAAAAAAAGUGGGGCGGAGGG